UUACUUGUUAACACCAGAGCCCAUGUGUGGAAACACAGAAGGGAUGGGAUUUGGAAUACAAUUUAAAGGAAAAAAUCAUAUAAAAAAUCUAUAAGAUUUGCAGAUUUUAAAGUGAAUGUCCCUGUGACUAAUGAAAAGGAUGCUUAUAGUUAUUCUUGGGCCAUGAGUAUAAAUAUUUCAACAUUUAUACUAUAUUGUGAAGAGUGUGAAAAGAGAAAUUGAUGGUGGUGUUCCAAAAUUCAGUUGAAGAGAAGAAAAAAAUCACGUUACUUCUGUUUACUUGAAAUAAGAGGAUGGCAACAGGACAAUGUCCUUGCUGGAAGGAGAGGAAGAGAUUCGCCUCAGGGCUCGGCAGAGUGCAUGUGCAUUGGUUUCUUCAUUGAUUCAUUUAUGUUUCUCAAACUUUGCCUGCUCUGUUGACACAGCAAAACAGUAUAAGGUCCAUCUCUAUCCUCCUAGGGUUCCUGGGCUGAGGCAGAAGGAGACACAAAAGCAUAAAGAGUGAAAGGUAGCAACUCAUUCCAGGAGUAGAUGAUGAACACCUGUCAUGUCUCCUUGAGUCCAAGAUGUAUCCAAGAUCAAGGAUGCUUAUGUUCUAGUGAAUGGAGACAGUGGUAGAUGCUAAAUGCCAUAAAUAAAGCGUUGUGGAGUGUGUUAGAAGGUAUUAAGCAGUUCACAGGAGACAGAGAAACUUGUUGACCAACUACAGCUUGCAAAAUAACCUGUCACUCCGCUGCCUACAGGGGGCCUUCCUAUACCCCUGUAGCCUCAAGAAAGCCUGGAUAUUUGGAGGCACAGAGAAUGAAGUAUCCUUGGGGCCAGAAAAAAGGCCCUAUUUCACCAAGGGGUUGAUACAGGUGCCAGGGAAGGCUUUUAUGGGGGACGCGGUGUGCAUGAGGCAGAACCGAGUGCCUGCCUGGAGACUUUGUCAACACCCUGUCAGGCAUGCAGGCUAAGUACAAUGGACAAGAAGGAGCACUCUCCAUCACAAAGGCCUUUUAUUGUGAAGGCCCAAAGAACACUGCUAAGGGAAUGUGCACCAAUGUUCAUAUUCUCCUAUUCCCCAUAAAAGAAGUUAUUUUUGUCAGAGGGAAUUGUAAGCCGGCCCUUGAAGUCAAACCCCCCACUGGAGCUCCCUUUGCCUUGCCCCUGCCAGCAGACACCACAAAGGCCAGGAUCGAAGCGGGGCAGCAGAUCCAAGCACGGAAGCCUGUUUGUCUCAGAAGAAAGCAGCUUGGUGAUGGUUUUGAAUUUAAAAAGUUUUAUUGGAUAUACUUUAUCCUUCUCCACUGAGUCAAAAACUUCAU
rnacentral:lncRNA from 1 species